rnacentral:lncRNA from 1 species
CAGAGUGGGUGACGUAUAUUCUUUGACUUGUAAGCUGGAGUUUGGUUAAAUUAACUGUCACACUCAAUUCAGCUCCAGAGUCCAGACAACAAACUUGUGAUUGGCCAAGUAUUCAAUAGUGGUCUACAAAGAUUGUAUUUUUGUUUUAAUUUCAGAAAUCUUGAAGGCUUUUACUGUUGCUGUACAACAAGUUACUUCAGCACUAAAUUCAGUACAGUUUUAAGGGGAAUAUGAUAAUCAAUUUAAGCCCUGAAUGCCACUAUGCAUGACUGAAUAUUGGUACAACUCUUUCAAAUAUGAGAAGAAUCUCAGCUCCCAAGAAAACUAACCGGUUUUCGUUCAUGAAUUUCUACAGAUUGUGGAUGCCAAGUUUGCCACAAUUCGAAAUGCCUGCUGCUCGUCUUUGGUGUUUCCGGUGUCUCAUUUUUGCUUUCUCCUGAUUGACCGGGAUCAAAGGAAAACUGAGAUGAAUCCAUCUCCAGGCUCACCUGCUGCUCACUUCCUUCUUGAUGAUGAUCCAUUCCUUGUGAGGCUUUUGUCUGACACUUGGAUAUGACCUUAAACAACAAUAAGGCCCAGAAGAGGAUACAAAAUACUGGAAACAGUAGGACUAAAGAAAGAAAGAGGAAGAUCAGAGCAGGAAUUAUCCAAGGCAGAAGCAUGAUUCCUAAAACAAGAACGAUAAACAGCUUCAAAAAUGACAGGAAGGUGAAAAAUGACAGGAAGGUGAAGCCGUGCAGGAGAUGCAUUGGUUAGCCAAAACAGAAGCUAGGCAAUAGACAAGAAAAUGAUUGUUGUAAAGAUUCCAUAUGAUUUUCUUGUUCCAUUAUAAUCGUAAAUGAUGUGAUAUGAAUGCAGCUGCUGCAGUGAUGUUAGUGUGACAAGAUGAGUUUGUGUACUAUAAUUUGACACGUUUAAGAAAUGCAUCAUCCGAACUUCGGAGACUGUAAAAAAAAAAGCAUUAUUGGGAAUGCAGAUUAACGUGACGUGACGUCAAACUGUCAGCACAAGGCAUUGAAGGAGGAGGGGCAGGGCCAAAAAUUGGCCAGAAGAAAUGUAAAGUCAAAAUUUUAUCUUGUAUAUUAUUUUAUGUAUUAUGUGUGAGAUUCAUAAAAAUUUAUUUUAUAAUUAUAUGUUUUUAAAAAUUUGUUAUAUCAUGUAUAUAUAAAUUUAAAUUUUAUAUAUUUUACACAAAAUCGUUUUGAACAAUUUUCUAACGAGUGUUUGAAUCCUUGUUCCUAGGGAUGGUAACGGGGCGAGGGACCCUUCCCCCAUCCCCCACCCCGCUGCCUACAAACUCCCCCCGUCCCCGCCUCGUCCUCGUCCCGCCCCGCUUCCCUCGCGGGUGUUUUCGUGGGGCUAUAAAAAUUUAUUAUAUAAUUUUAUUAUGAUUAAAUUUUAGCAAAUAAUCAAGUACUAAAAUAUCAACACAUCAUCAAAUUAUUGUUCAUUAUAAUUUUACAAUUGAAACUUAUAAAAACAAUCAAAUAAAAAUUAUUUGAAUACAAUCCAACAUGAUAAAAUAAAUAUAACUAAAGUAGCCAAGUUUUCACUUUUGGUACAAAUACAAUCACUAAUUCCUUCUUGUGCUUGUGCUUUUUUUAAGAAAAAAAUGUUAUUGUAUUAAGUGUAAUUAGGAAUUUAAUAUAAAUGUAUUAGUAAAUUUAAUAUAACCAUUCCUACUUGUCAUCCGUUGAAUCACUAAAAAAUUUUCCUAAAAAAAAAACCCCCUAAAAAACAGCACGACACCCAGUAAAACAUCCCAAUCACGUGAUGUAUACCUUGUCAACAUGUUGCACGAGACUGACUUAAAAAAAGAAAAAGUCUAAAUGGAUGAGCUAUGUUGUAUGUCCCAAAAAGAGUUAAUUUUAUUUUGCACCCUUCAACUAUUAUUUAUUUUUACUUUGAUCCCUUGACUAUCAAUUAGAAUACUAGCCCUUCAAUUAUAUCACGAUUCUUAAUUUGAUCAUUAAACUCCUUUCUUCUCUCUACUUUUAGAAAUUUUUUGGGUUAUUGUUUAAUCUUUUUUUGUACUCACUUGACUAGUAUUCUGUCGGUUUUUAGAGAUCCCAUUAAUAAUUGUUCUUAAGUGGGAUAGUUUUCAUAGAAUAGAGGCUAAAAUAUCCUAAUUUAUAAUUUAGUGACUAAAAUAAGAAUUAGUAUAAUUGAGAGGUACAAAAUGGAAUUAACUCUCCAGAACAUUGGAACAAAGUCGAUAAGAAAGCAAGGAUUGGUUUUGUAAAAGCCUUUUUUUUUUUUUAUAUUGGUUUUGUAGAAAAAGAAGCAACUGGCACACUUAAUUACUCAUUCAACAUUUUAAACUUUUGACAAUACUAUCAUUUAGAUAGCAGAAUCCCUAAAAUAGUAUGUUAGAAGACUAUAGUUACCAUAAGCCUUUAUGAAUUCAUCACUUUGCGGGAAUAUGGGAGAAAUGUAAUUUUAGUCUCUAAUAUUUGAUAUUUGUGCAAUUCUAGCUUCUAAAGUUUUGGUAAAAAUAAAUCUGAUCCCUAAUGUUUGGUUCCUUAUGCGAUUUUAGUCCUUAAAGUUUAAGCAAAAAUAAAUCUGGACCAUAAAGUUACCAAUUUGCAGUAGAUUUAGAACAACAGAUGGAUUUUCCCAAUUAUUGACAAAAUUGGUCAUGUGUUCAUUAAAUUGGAAUUUUUUUUUAAAAAAAAAGAAGAAAAAAAAAGUUAAGUAUGAUAGUAAAAAUAACUCACGUAAUGGCACAUAAGUAACUAAUUAAUCGACAAUUUAAAAAAUAAAAUAUUUUGUUAAACUAGAGGCAAAAAAUUUUUUGCUUGGGGUGGCGGAGAUAGAGGGUGAAAAUGAAUUCUGAAUCAAUGAACUAGGAGCUCUAAUUGGUUUCAAUUUUGUAGUUUAACAAAUUUGUUAUUUUUAUACAUACUUAAUUAGCAUCUAAAUUAUUAGUCAUUAACCCUGUUGUUUAAAGUUAAUCACUUUUUUGCUUUUUUAUUUAUAGAUUUAAUUCAACAGAUACAUGACUGCACGUGACCUGAUUUUGUUAGUAAUUGAGAAAAAUUUUCAAAUAUCCUAAAUCUGUUUUCAAUUGGAUACAUUGUGGAUCAGAUUUGUUCUUACUAAAAUUUUACGGACUAAAAUUGUACAUAUACUAAAUAUUGGUAAUCUAAUUUGAUUUUGCUAGACUAAAACUACGGCUUCGUAUGGAUUCCCUCUUAUGCUCAAAAACUAUUUUUGUUUGUGGAGUCUAUAGUAAGAAAAACUCCAAAAAACAACUUAAAAAACAUGCAAAUUCAAACACCUGGAAACAAAAAAAAAAAAAAAAAAAGUAAAAUAACUCCCAUUUUCUUCUUCCAAACAUUACCACCACCCAUCACUUUCCGCGACCGCUAUUGCCAACACUUCCCCCUGCUGUACUGUUGUCACCAUUUCUCCUUCUCCUCAUCUCUCUCCCUCUUUCGUCCCAUCUCUUCCUUCCUUUUCUCCUCCUCACUUUUUGCCUCCCCGAACUCUUGCUUUUUCCCUCAUUUCAAUCCGGUCUUCGGGUCGCGAUUAGAUUUGGUCGCAAUCUAUGACUAGAUAACGAGCUGCGUCCAAAUGCCAUGGGGAAAGAAGAGGGAUGCUGGGAGAAGGGAAAGGACAUGAGAGGAGGAGUGGGGAAGAUAGGGAAGGAAGAGGAAGAUGGAGGAGGAGGAGAGACGGAAGAGAAAGGAGGAUAAGGGAAAAUGGUGAUAGCAAUGAAGAAAAGAGGGAUGGUUGUGUUGGUGGAGAGUGAUGGGUAGGGUAGUAGGUAGUUGUGGUAGGAUAAUUUUUAAACAAAUUUGUAAAAAUUCAAUAAAUUUUUAAAUUUUAUAACAUUCCCAAAUAUAUCUACAAUGUAGGUUGCAUUUGACAAAUGAAUUUUUAGGGUGUUUGUCUAAAACUGUAACUUACCGUAGAAAUUGUAGAAAUUUUUUUUGAAAUGUGUAAAUUUUGAAUGUUUUGAAGUGUAUAGUUUAAAAUUUUAAAAAUGUUUUUCGAAGUUACUGUAGUUACAGUUGUUAAAAAACUUGUAGCAGACAAACUUGAUCAAAAACUUGCUUGCCAAAUAGGCUCAUAAGAUUUUGACAUACAUUGCUAUUAUAAAAUUUUUUGAUAAACACUCCAAAAACAUUUAAUCCAUAGGAAGCGUGCAGUUUCCCUUGAAAAUGUUGCAUUAUUUGCUCCAUCCUUCAAUUAGGCUUCAAUAAUUGAUUUUAAAUGAAGAAAUAUAGGAUGCCCAAAAAAAAAAAAAAAAAAAAAAAUUCACGGGGUCUAAGUGGGGCUAGCCCUCAUCUCAUCCUAACCUGUUCCAUGUAUCUAAUUUAAACAACCUAACUCACCUUAAGUUUUUGGCUAAAUGAAUCACGUGACUCACGGGUGCUUCUCCAUUUUUUAUCUUUUAUUGUAAAUCGGAGCAGUUAAUUGCAUUUCUAUUUAUAGAUUUUCUUUGUAUUUACUACCAGUUCUUGCUUCUUGGUGUUUAUAUGCUAAUUAACAAAAAAACAAAAUACACGUAAGAAAGUAAAUACAAGACAGCGACUCUUCUUAUUUUCACUGCUGGUAAAGAUAUGUUAUGUAUAUGCAAAGAAAAAAGAAAAAACCCUUUAUAAAAAUAAAUGGGAAGAAAGGUGAAAUUAAAAAACCAGCCCGUUUCUGUACUCUGGUCAUCACACCAAAGCAAAAGCCGGUGCAUUAGUAGUGUUGCGGCCACACACGCUCACCGGAGCAGUGGACACCCCAGUUCAACCAAAUUUCUGGAACCCACUUGCCAAAAUUAAUCAAAUUUCUCUCCCAUAGCUCCAAAGUCUAAACUUUACCAUAAAGAAGUAAUUUUUUGCUCCUCUCUCUGGUUAUAGUUUUGGGUGUUAUUCGUUAUUUUUGGUUUGGUUCAGCCGAUAUUCUUGUCUAGAUCUCUUUUUAUCAUUUCUAUUCUAGCAUUUGAUUGCAUAGAUUUUGUGGGUUUGCGUAAUUUAUGGGUUUUAUGCACAGAAUCAGCUUAUUAGAAUUGAAUCUUGGGGAAAAAAUAGCAUGAAAUCUGGAAAGGGUCAUCAGGAAGAGGAAGAAGAGGAGGAGGAAGAUUUUGGUGCCAAAAAAGACUCCACACCAUCCCAAAAUAAUCCCAAAGGUGAAUUUUUAUUUUAUUUUUAUUUUUUCCUUCUUUUCCAAUACAUAUAUAGAUAAGUAAUUUUUGACGGUGGCCCUUUAAUUGUUCUAGUCUAGUUUCAGGAUCACUUAUACUUCAUUUUAGUGCAGUUUUUGAUAGAUUGGCCCCUUUUAUAACUGGAUUAUUGGGAUUUGUUGAGAAAAGAAGUGACAAUUGGCUCGUUUUUGGAGUUUCAGAAUUAUGACUUUUUUUUGGAUGAAUUGGUAGGAGCAGAUGGGAAGAGCAGUGAUAAGGCAAAUGCAAUGAGGUCGAAGCAUUCAGUAACAGAGCAGCGAAGAAGAAGCAAGAUUAACGAGAGGUAUGCUAUAUUUGGUGGCUUUUAUUGUUGUUAAUCAUGUAUCUGUUUAUUGUUUAGUAGUUAAUUGGACGAGUUUUAAUUGAGUGAAAUGUAGUUGUAAUGAUCAGUUUCAUGAAAUCUUUGACUCCUCGUUGGUGUAGUUUCGAAUUAGUUAUGAUACUUUUCUGAAGACUAUACCUUUAAAGGCCAAUGUUUGAUGUGGCUACAGAGUGAUAAAGUGACCAAGCUGCUUGAUUUAUCGUAGUCAAUCUUCAUUUACAUAAUUCUUUCUUUGUCAAGAGAAGAUGUAAGAAUUUGAGUUUUAGUAAGAUGCCUUUCUUUUGCUUUACCGUAAUUCAUGGUGGUCAUGAGACUUAUUGAGGACUUUUUGGAUAGGUAGGAAGGUUAGAGAACAUUCAACUUCCAAUAGAGAUGAAGUCUCUCUCAUUAUGCGUUUUAAGCCUUUUUGUUGCUUGAAGAUGGGGGUGUUUUUGUGACAACUUGGUCAGGAUGGGAAAAAAAAAAAAACUGGGCUCCAAUCAAUAAAAAAUGGAUACUGUGUAGCAUGUCUUACUGUUCCCAUAUUGAAUGACUAACUUGAGGUCUUUCCUUCUUUCUCUCAAGUCCCUGUAAAGGACAAAAGUGUCCUUUCUUGGUCCUGCAGUUUCAGAUAAUCUGUUUUUGUAGUUAUUGGAGUCCACCUGUAGCACAAUAGCAGAACGCUUUUCUGUCUUUUCUUCUCAAAUUCCUUGUAUAAAUAAAGAUACACUUCACUGAAGUUGCAGAGCUAUUGAAAUGCCAAUCCCCAUGAAUAAGUCAGCUGCAUUGGUGUUGGGCUAGAUAUGGCCCACAUAUCUAGCCAAACACAGCAUGUGGGGCCAUGUCUUUUCUUGGUCCUGUGGUUUCAGGAUAAUCUGUUUUUGUAGUUAUUGCAGUCUACCUGUAGCACAGUACCAGAAUUCUUUUCUGUCUUUUCUUCUCAAAAUUCCUUGUAUAAGUAAAGAUGCAUUUCACUGAAGUUGCAAAGCUAUUGAAAUGCCAAUCCUCAUGAAUAAGUCAGCUGCAUUGGUGUUCUAAGCAGUGCUAGAUAUGGCCCACAUAUCUAGCCAAACACAGAAUGCGGGGCCAUGUCUUGACAAUUGUGGACUCUUUGUGUAUGUGUCAAACACAGAAUGUUGUAAAUCAAAGAAGAACUCUACUUUGUCUACAGUUCUGCUUGGCCUCUUUUCCUACUUGCGAGUUUUCUAGCUUUUGGAGUGGAUGUUUGGGAUUCGUGUGGGAUUAUCCUGUUGAAUCCUUAACCUGGGAAGUGGAACUAUGUCAUAUAAAUCUUCUCAUUAACAAAUUGAUAAGGAGAUUGUGGAAUGUAAAACUUUGGAUUAAUGCAUUUCCUUUUUGGUGAAAAAUCAGCCUCUGCUGGGCAUUGCCUUCACUGUUAUAUUAGUUCAAGUAGUACCUAGUAGCAGGGGUUGACAAGCAGGAAGAGGAACUGACAGAGAUGCAAGUAAAAAAUAGAGUGUUAACAGGAUUCAUCCAAUAUUAGUUUAAAGCUCCAAUAGCAUUCAAUGGUUUAUCUACUUUGAUUGGUCACAGCUGUUCUAGGUGUGAAAUGAGACAAGUUAUUCUGAAGGCAUCAGAAUUGUGGAGUUUUUGGCUUUGUGUAUGUCUCGACAUUUUUAUCUGUACUUGCGGCAUUUGGUUUCCUGGCCAUUAUAGUUCUUGUAAUAUGCGUAGCUCUUGUUUUCUUCUAAUGUUUGGUUUUCACCAGGAGAAAAAGACCUGGUCUUUCCUGUGUUAAUGGUGGGUGCAAUAAUUGUGAGCAUGUGAGUAGCUUAUAUUUACUGCUUUGAUCUGAUUUUGCUAUUGUUGCUCAAGUUACCAUCAAGAAAUUAUUGGUUGGCUGUCUUUAGAAGGGCAAUUUCCUCCUUUUUCUUCUGAAACCCUGUGGCAUGUGGUUCCAUUAACCACCUAGCAGUUAAAGUUGAGGCUACACGAGGUGCCUAAAUAUCAAAUAUAACUGUUUGCCAAGUGACAUUUGUCUGACCAAUACUGCUGUUGUCUUGAUAUGAUGCCAAAUACUCCCUUCCCUAAUAAGUCACACUUUUUUAAGUUUCACAUUCUUCGUGCUUGACUUGUCUAGGGAAAUGUGAAGUUUGGGAAAUUAUUUGGCUUAUGUAUGACAUUCACGUGGGUCUAUAAGACUUCAGAGCUUCUGGAGACUUCUUUUGGAAUAAAGUGAAUUAUGAUAGGAAAUUGAGAGGAAUAAACUUUUAAUGUUCAGGCAAUCCAUAUUGGAAAUUUAGUCUUUCUUCCAGUAAUUAAAUUUUAUUUUCUUUCCCAGAUUUCAGAUUUUGAGAGAGCUGAUACCCCAUAGUGAUCAAAAGCGAGAUACUGCAUCUUUCCUAUUGGAGGUAUAUCAGUUGAUCAAAAUAAGUUGUUGCAAUUGCCUCCUUGUCUCUUCAAUGGUCGAUUUACUGUAGGUUGGCUGAUUGUCUAUGUCUGUGUACAGGUGAUCGAGUAUGUACAAUAUCUACAGGAAAAGGUUCAAAAGUGUGAAGGAUCAUAUCAGGCUUGGAACUCAGAGCCCACAAAGCUGAUGCCCUGGGUAAAACAUUGAUAUCUACCAUAUAAAUGAAUUUUAUCAUUUUACCCAUGCAAGCCAUCUUUGUUGGCUCUAUAAACAUGUAUUUCACUUGGCUAGAUCAUGCAAGAUGUGUACUAAUUGGGUUUCCUUUAUGGUAAUUAUUUUGUUUCUCUUUCCCACUUGCCUACACACAACUAUAGUAAGAUGUUUUGUGGCCAUUCUGCUGUUAAACUUUAACUGAUAUAGUUUGGCUGUUACUGUCAAUUUCACUAAUGUUCCAUGGCUUAUUUGGUUGGAAUACUAAUCUAGGUUUUCCUUCAACGUUCUUUCCCUUUUCUCUUGCUAUUCUUACAUGCCUAGUGCCUUCCUUCCUCGACAGUAACAACAUAUUCUCUGACAAAGAAGAAACUUAGCAAGAUUUUUGGAUAUCCAUAUACGAAAAUUCAUUUUACUAUCAAAAUCUUCUCAAGAAAACUGCAUUUUGGUUUCCAUUUCUGUUUUGAUGCAUAUCUUCAAACUGACCAAGUUUUUAUGGCAUUUACUUGGAGUAGAGGAACAGUCAUUGGCGGACUCAGAGUUUUGUCAGUCAUCCACAAACAAUGAAAAACGGCUCUGGUUCUGGUCCACUGUAUCCUGGAAGGUUAGAGGACAAUAAUAUCACUGUAUCUUCAACUGUGCAACCAAGUCAACAAAAUCCAAUUGAAUCUGACCUUGGGAGGGAGGUUACCUCUAAAACCAUGGAUCAGCAAACUGAACUGACCAACCAGGCGAUGCCCAUGCCGAUGCCUUUGCAGGCAGCCAUGCCAGUUCCGAUCCAGAAUGAUGGUGCCUUCUCCCACUCCCAACCUAGGCCAGCUCCUGAUGCGCAGUCUUCUGACUGUCCAAUCACUGAUGAUAUGCUAAACCAUCCGGAGGGCUUAACUAUUGAAGGGGGCACAAUUAGCAUCUCAAGCAUAUAUUCACAAGGGUGAGUGGUUUUACAGCUUGUAUAUUUGUUUUAAUGCUAUGGAUUGGCACAUGGUGUUUCAUGUUAAUUAACUUCUGUGGCUGUUAUUACUGUCUCUGAUGCUUAAAAUUAUGUUCUUGCCACAGAAUUCUCAGUAGUUACUGUUAAUCCCGACUCUCUUGUAUGCUCUGGGGCAGGCAUUAAUAAAUGAGUAUGUUUCAUUGUUUGUUGGUGCAUCAUGGAACUUGUAGCUAGAACCAUUGACAGAUGGCAUGCAUUCAUUAAGGUUUUACUUGCCAUCUCCUAAAUUUGCUUUAAAAUGUGGUCACAAUGCAAUAUAUAAUUUUGUAUCCAUUUCCUUCUUUGGGAUGGGGGGAAUUAUUGGAGGCGUGAGAGAAAGAGAAGGAGAGAGAGAUUGUCUCCAAUUAUGUAUUAUCAGUCAAGCGCUUGGGGACUUUUUAGUGGUCUGGCCUGAUUGCUAAGAUGAGGACAGCUUGUGGUGGUGGUUUCACUAUUAGAGAUUUUGAUAUAUUAAGAAGGAUUUAUUGUGUUUAUGGCUCUGCUUUCGGGUGCAUAAUAUUUGUGCUGACUGAUUUGGUUUUUCAAGGUUGUCUCUAUGUAGUUGCUUAUGUCUGGGCAUUUGGAGUUUAAAAUCAGCUGUUUUGUGCUUUAUUCAAUUCUUUCUUCUUUUUCUACCUCUCUACAAGGUUUCUAUGUAUUCUUUGUGCAGUGAUCGCAUGUUCAGCAGGAGGUAGUCCAUUGUAGCUUAAUGUUCUUCUGUCAAUAGAUUUAGGAAAUCUUUCAGUAGGUUAUGAUGAUUUUAGCUGACCUUGCUUUGCAAUUGUUUCUAAUCAGGUUGCUUAACACAUUGACGCAAGCAUUGCAGACUGCUGGAGUGGAUCUCUCUCAGGCCACUGUCUCGGUGCAGAUUAAUCUAGGAAAGCAAGCAAAUAGAGGACUGGCUUCUGGGAUUUCCGUCACUAAAGUAAUGACAUUUUAAUGAUUCUCAGUAUUUUUUUUUGGGGGGGGGGAGGUGUGUGUGUGGAAGAGUACUCGGCUUCUUGGAUUGCAGUUGGUGACUUCUCUAUUCUAUGCUAAUUUCAUUCCCUUAUCAUGCUUCAGGAUCAUGAGCGGCGUUCACCUUCUGGUGAUCAAUUAGCGGGGCAAUAUCGGGACACAAGCAACGGUGAAGAUUUCAGUCAAGCCCAAAAGAGGCUGAAAAGGUGACCGUCCAUGCUUUCCGAAUCAAUGUGUGCUUGGCUCAGUUUUGUCUCGUCCGAUGGAGAAAAGGCUAGUUGAAUGUAAAUGCUGGAAUUCUCAUAUUAAUCUUUGGGCUUUAGGCUAUUCUGCUUGCUUGUCUAUAUGCUGCGCCUUCUCGACUUUCUGCCUGGAGUGGUUCAUAUAUGUUCCUUUGUUGGAAACUGGAAUUAGGUUCAUCGAUUGGCAACGAUUCAGCUUUCAAAAACAGAUGGUUUAUCUCUGUACAAAAUUUCUGGUGAUCAUUAGAGGCUUGGUGCUGCCACGCCAAUUUUCUUUUCUUUUCUUUUUUUUUUUGCCCCAUCUGAAAUGCAAUGGACCUUGUUCAAAAACACUCUUCAUUGUUUGCCCGAGCUCCCCGUCCACCUUGCUCGCGGACUGAGGAAUCCACCCUCCAGGAAACGACCGCAUGGAGCCAUUGGUGUGCAAGGACACUGAGUAUCCAUUUGUUUGUAGUGCAAAAAUAAUCAUCGAGGAAUAUGUCAUUCUAUGCCUUAAACCUUUUUAAUUUCGUUAAACUAAUGGGAUUGAGAGAAGGUAGAGAAAUAUGUUUUCAUGGGGAAUGAGAAGCUUAUUGGACGUGAUAUAGUUCAAAAGCUUCUGCGCAGCCUCAAACAUUCAGCCUCAAAAGCUUUUGUACAAUUUAGACGAACGCUGUAACUUCGAAUUGGUCCACGGUUAUCAUUGUCUGAGUACAACUUACACAGAAAAUCCAUCUGACUAAAUGGUAAGCCGCCUGGAUAAAUGUCAUUUUUGACGGAGCACUAGUGCUCCAUGCUGCAAGGUGUUAAAAGAGAGGUACAUUCAAUAUCAACAAUUGCUGAUAUACCUACGCUAGCUGUUCUUAAGUUGAGGAGGUUGCUCUUAAGAUGUUAGAAAUCUCCAUAUAAGAACAGUACACAUACGGUAACCAACAAUUCAUGGAACUCAGGCAAAACUGAAUAUCCAACUACCCAUAUUGUUGCAGGGAGGGAGUUAAUAGUCGCCUGACCAUAUUGUUGCAGAUAGCGAGUAGCUUACCUGGUCUCAAAUGUGCUCUCUCUAUUGCGAGUUUGAAGUCCUACACUAAAAACCUUUUGAUUGCCUCUUACAUGAAUAACGACCAUGAUCGAUGCAUGUUCCAACAAUUUUCUACCUCUAAGAGGCAGAUUUUUGGCAUUUUCAUCACCCACAAGUACUCAGGACUUUCAAUAGAAAAGCAUAUUCAUAAGCCGUUUCCUCACAAUGACUAAUACGGCCACCUUCAUCAAAAUGUCCUCCACUCAUGCUACUCCUCAGAAUGACUGAAGAAGAACAAGUUGAACAUGCAACCUCCCGUACCCUGGCCACCCAUUUGGCUGCUUCCCAAACACCAACCCUUGAGUGCACAAACAUCUUCAGGAUCAUUGUUUUAGAAGGAUGCAUGCAAAGACAUUAAUCGCAUACAAAUGAAGAUGAUUCAAGAUCAUUUUUAGGCAAAAUGGCUCAUUGUGUGCUAAGGAUUUAAGCAUGACAUUCAGGCUCAAAUAAAUAGGCAGGCAAAAAUUGAGACAUGAAUUUAAAGUUAGAAGACAAGCACAGAGUCUUGUAGAGAAGAAUUACGCAAAAGGAAAUUUCAGAUGCAAGCUUACCUUGAGUCGUUAAAUGAGGAUUUAAGCAGCACUGCAGGAUAACAAAAUCCUUGACGGAUAUUAUCAUAAGGAGAAACUUUCAGGAUGUUGUGAAAAUGGGACUCUAUCUGCGGAUUCCCAAACUCCUCAUAGUCCAGUACAGUGAGCGGCAAAUCAGUGUCUAACAAUGUGUUGCAUACGUCAAGAAAGGGCACCUGAUACAUGUAUUAUACACAUCAUUUUCCCCAACAAGCUGAUUGCUGAAACAUUAAUAGAACAAACAAUAAAAUCUAAGAGUCUAUGACCCUGCUAAAAGAAUUAACAAGAAUAUUGACCUUUGUAUUCAUACUAAAAAACAAAAGGGGUUUUUUAUUUGAUUUCCCAAAUUAUGGAAGUCAAUUUUGGAGAUGUCGACUUCAAAACUCACUGUAAUCUUUCUUCUUUCUUUCUCUAUGCCAAACUCUCUCAGUGCUCCUUAUUCGGGUCUUCCCAACACCUUCCCAUCUUUUUAUUCUCUCCUUAUUUCUCAACAAAAACCCAUAAAGAGAAACCUAUCUAAAGCAAAGCCGUGUUUAGUCGUUUCAAACUUCAUACACAAGUUGCAAGGAAUCAAAAAGCAACAUUCAAAAAAUUGAAGACAAACCCAAACAAAUCAAGGAUAACACCAUCUGAAUCAAAGCUGUGUUCCACUGUUUUAAACUUUGUAGCGAGUUGCAAUGAAAAAUUAUGCACAAGAGCAGCAUAAGGAAAAAUUUUAAAAGUAUCAACCUGGUUGCAAGGAAUCCUCUUUGUCUUUUCUUUCUUCUUAGGAAGCCGUAAAGGGAAUGGGUAUUUGAUAAUUUAAGAAUGGUAGUCGAUUUCUUAGAAGUAGACUUCUUAAAAAUCAACUUUUAAGUUUUUGGAAGCUUAAUAAAAGCAACAACUAUUGUUUAAUUAGAAAAACAAUGGACAAUAUUGGCAUAAAUAACUCAAAAAUUGGGUUUAUUCCCAAAGACAAUCUAGAUAAUACAAAUGGUGGUAUUACAGGAAGUGUUCACUAGACAUUUGAACCAGUAGUGUCAUGGCAGGGAAAAAAUCAACUUGCAACAUUUCUUAAAAGCAUGCAUGAAACUAUAGCUUUCUGGCCUUUCUUUUUUCUUUUCAUACUUCUUUCUUCAUCUAACCAUGAUUUUUCCUUUAAUUGAGUAGCAUCUUGUUGCAGAAUCAACUACUGAAUCUUUAUCUUCAAUGUAAUUUUUUAUCUUUUAAUCAUUAGCAUAUCAGUUUAAUUGAGUUCCCUUAUCCAUUUGUCUUUUAUGAUGAUUUUACAAAGCCACACCCACUUUGAUCUCCCAGCAAACAUUUGCAUGAAAGAAUUAGAAUAAAGCAAAAGAAAUCCAAUCAUUACUGUACCAGGUAAGAUCACAAACAAAGGCAUACUAAGUGUCUACCUUCAAUAUGGCAGCUCGAAAUAGAUUUGGAUGCAUAUUCAUGGCUGCACCCACAAGAAAACUUCCAGCACUGUGGGCAACAACACUAAGUUGCUGUUUGUGAAUAUAGCCCUCAUUAAUUAGGUAUUUGCCACAUGAAACAAAAUCGCAUAUCGAGUUUAACUUAUGCAAUCCACUGCCAGAGCUAUGCCAUGAAGAAUCAGCACCAGCACCACCCCUGCCCUCAAAACACAUGACAGUCAAGCGAUAUAUAAGGAUACUAUCAUUAAUUUAAUAUUUCUUCAGAACUGACCAAAAUUAGAUAAGUUGCUGACAUAAGAGAAAUCACAGAACCACCAUGGUGAAUGAAGAGUUAACAGUUAAGGGAUCUAGAGUCUUUGUUUUCUAGAACUGUUAUAUUUCUUGCUCUAGAGAGUUGCUUAUGAGGUUACAGUCCGCUAGCAUCCAAUGCUCUCCCAAGGUUAAUAUAACUACCACAUGCUUUGGUCAGCACAUAAAUAGCUAAAUGUUCGUUAGAAUGUUCACUUGGAAAACUGAGAGCAAGCACGUUGACACACUUACAAUCUGUUCUUCGGGUUACAUGGAAACUACAACCUAUAUAUCCACCCUUAAAAUCUUAAAGCCAGGAAAAGAACGUAGCUUUUGUUACAAAUGAACAAGCAUCGCCAUAAUAUGACAACUUAAAUCCUGGUAAACAAGAAUCAUGAAGGUCACUCUUGUUAAAGGAACUGAAACUUUUAUGCAGAAGUCUUCCUUGUAUCACCCCAAAUAUUAGAAAACAAAUAUCUCAUUUCUUUUCUAUUUACCUUACAUCAGCAAAUGCAAUCACCCAACCACGAUCGAGCAAGCUCAACCGAUCUGCACACCAGCUUUUAUCAAGAAGUUCCCCAUACGCUCCAUAGCCAUGUAAAAGCCCUGGAGAUUGACCUUUUCUAUGAAGCUCUUUAGAAUACAAGAUAGUCAAGGGAACCCUGAUGCCGUCAUGUGAAAUAACUUCUUUUUUCUCACAAAAGUACAGGUCAGAAAGGUCUUUCAAUCCCGAUGCUUCACUUUUAUGACCAUUUGUUUUCUUCUCACACAGAAGGUCCUCAAUAUCCUUUGCACUCUUAUAGUUUUGCAAGUGGUUAGCGCUGGAACAAAUAUUAGACACCUCUUCUUGCUGCACAACAACGUGCGAAUUUCUCGACAUGUCAUAGUCGACAAUAACAUCAGGUAUCUGGAAUUCAAAAAGAAAGAUGAGAUGCAUGUGCUUAGUGCCUUCUACUUGAGUUUGUUACAUCAGCAGAAUUUCUAAUUUCCACCCACCGAUAUUCUGUCUAAGGGUCUUUAAGUUCAGUUGUCAAAAGAUAAACUAGUGGUACAGAGAAAAGCAUAAAAUAGGAGGAGAAAGAAAAUAUUCAUUUAAUAUUGUUUAUUUUGACUAAAGUUUCCACCAUAGCAGUUUAAUUAAACUUCUCCCUCAACCCCCAGAACACCCCCUUCCCCUCAAGCCAAAAGAAAACAAAAGGAAAAUAAUAGGGAAAGGCUUCCAAAAAUGUAAAUGAAGACAAAAGGAUGUAUGGAGCUUUCUCAAUCAGGUGUUAACCAAAUUAUUUGAUCUCAAACAGAGACCCAGAAUAAAGAACAACAAAGACGAUGGAGAGAAACACAAGGCACUUGUACACAUCUAGUAAAAACUAAACUAUUGAAUGAGCAAUAACACAAGCCUUCAAACAGCAAAUCAUAGAAGUUGAAACAUUGCAUAUUUAUGGAUUUGGACAUCAUGCCUGUUAUUCAACUUAAGCACCAUAAAGUGAGACUUCUAGCACCCGUUUAUUUAAUUUAAGCGUAAUUUAAAGUCUGAAAACAAUACUCAGACAGUGGGAAACUGGGUAAAAUAAACAGCCUGACCUGGGCAAUUCAUUGUCUCUUCUUGAUAUUUUAUGACUACAUGGAUAAAUGCUUUUGGCUGUCUAUCUGAACCAAGAAAAGAAUAUUCUACUAGACAAAAGAUCUAUAUGCCACUAUAGAGUAACAUGAAUAUACAUAUCAAUGAAAAGAGAUAAGGAAGUGGGGAAUGAACAAGAAACUUAAAGCUAUCGGUUACAGUUAUAGAUGUCAUCGGUAAGGGAGUGUUCGACAUCAUACCACAGGAGAAGAAAGCACAACACGAUAGACUGAACUCAUGAAAUCAUGAUUUGAGCCAGGCGAUAUUGUACACAUAUUUGAAGGCAGAGGGAAAAACCAUGCAUGAAGAUCAUCAAUCUUCAAUUCUGUCUGCAGUCAAAAAGGAAAUCAUCUUUAGAUGUAUAUAUCAACACUACUUAGUUACUUCUUGAUAAUCAAGUAUUAGUGAACCAAGAAUCCAAGUGAACCAUGAAUGAGGAAGAUACAAGAAAAAACAUAAAUGAGUAAAUUUUUGAAAAUAUUUUCUCACUACAAAGUCAGAUCAUCUCGAAAUCCAUACCAGGGACCAAGAAAUGAAUCCCUGCUUCAGUAAAUUAGGAAAACUUUAAUCAGAUGCAUCCAGCUUUCGCAGUCUGAGGGUCAUUACAAACAAAAGUACAAACCGCAAAGUGAAAUGACAAUUUACAAGAAACUGAAAUCUUAAACCCCCUCUUAUGAGAGAUUGGUAUUGUUUGCAUUGUGUCCCACUAGAAUUCAGUUAAGAUCUUUACUUGGUAACCAACAUCUAGAAGAUGCACGAGAGCCAUGUCUAUUAAGUUCUACUGUAUGUAUAUAUUAGCCAUCCUUUUAUAGCAAGAGAAAAGAUCUCACAGGCAUGACACUGAAGCACUCGAAAAGAACAAUAUAGAAGAAUCAAAUCUCCUUUAGUGCAAAUGCAA